ensembl:misc_RNA Metazoa_SRP Metazoan signal recognition particle RNA
GCUGGGUGUGGUGGCGCGCACCUGUAAUCCCAGCUACUCAGGAGGCUGAGGCAGUAGAAUCGCUUGAACCCGGGGGGCGGAGGUUGCAGUGAGCCGAGAUCACGCCACUGCACUACAGCCUGGGUGACAGAGCGAGACUCCGUCUCAA